rnacentral:rRNA from 1 species
GAUGAACGCUGGCGGCGUGCCUAACACAUGCAAGUCGAGCGAUUCUCUUCGGAGAAGAGCGGCGGACGGGUGAGUAACGCGUGGGUAACCUGCCCUGUACACACGGAUAACAUACCGAAAGGUAUGCUAAUACGAGAUAAUAUGCUUUUAUCGCAUGGUAGAAGUAUCAAAGCUUUUGCGGUACAGGAUGGACCCGCGUCUGAUUAGCUAGUUGGUAAGGUAAUGGCUUACCAAGGCGACGAUCAGUAGCCGACCUGAGAGGGUGAUCGGCCACAUUGGAACUGAGACACGGUCCAAACUCCUACGGGAGGCAGCAGUGGGGAAUAUUGCACAAUGGGCGAAAGCCUGAUGCAGCAACGCCGCGUGAGCGAUGAAGGCCUUCGGGUCGUAAAGCUCUGUCCUCAAGGAAGAUAUUGACGGUACUUGAGGAGGAAGCCCCGGCUAACUACGUGCCAGCAGCCGCAGUAA